UCUAGUUGAUGUUAACUCGAAUUAUUAUAUUAGAAUUAUUAACUGCCUAACUUGAAAGUUAACUAAAAUAUCUGAUUGCUUUUGGUUGAUCCAUUACUGAAGUAUAAUUAUUUAUUACCAUUAUUUUCUGUAAACGUGGCAUUACACACACACACACACACACACACACACACACACACACACACACACACACAAACACUUAAUCCUUUUAUCAGUCAAUGAAUUUAUAUGUGUGUUGUGCAAUUCACUUUCUCAGUAUGUUUCUGCACUACACAUAGAUGACAACCUUCCUUCACUUAACUACGUUCAUUUUCUUGAGUUUCUCUUAAUCAAUUUCCUAACUUUUCCAGCAACUGAUCAGAGUUAGGCUAGGUUACCUAAAUCAAUAAAAAUAAAUAUGUAAAUUAUAAAGAAAGCGGCUGAGAAGCAUCAGGAAUAAUGUUCAGACCUGCAUAUCACUCCUGAUAAGAAGAGCUGCCUCCGUGGACUGAGUACAACGCCAGUGAAAGCAGACGAGAAGCUUGGGGCGAAGGAAAAAACCAGGACCCAACAAAUUGGUACCUUUCAGCCUCCCCAAGGAAUUUCCCAUCUCAUGCGGUAAAUUUAUGUUAUACCAAGUACUGCACACAAACAUCCCAAGUUAUUAUACAUCUCUAUACCUACCUAAACAGUAUUUCAUCAGUCAACUGAUAAAUAUGCAUAAAACAAAUUAGUACUCUUAAUUCCAGUGAAACGAUUGUACUGAUUACCUGGUAACUGCACGAGGCACCAGUGGCAAGACGGAGGGAGGGUCAGGGAAGCUAUUUUGAUGUAAAUAGCAAGAAGCAUCUCUGACCAGCAUCAGUGCUUACUAUAAAGCGAAGAACGAAAGUCAACUGCAGUCACCAUGAACUAUCUCCGAGCCUUGAUGAUGGUGGUGGUAGUAAUGGCCGCCGUGGGCGUAGCCAUGGCCUACGUAGACCCUGAUGCCAACCACCAUAGACACGGUGGAUUCGGUGGUGGCAGAUUCGGUGGAGGUGGAUUCGGUGGCGGCAGAUUCGGUGGCGGCAGAUUCGGCGGCUUAGGAGGAGGUUUUGGUGGUCGCGGGCAUGGUGGUUAUGGCAAGUAGAGAGACGCUGCAGACCAGCUAGAUGGACACCUCGACCACACUUAGCCAUGAGAAUGAUCAGAGAUGAACGUCGGUUAUUGACGCAGCUAAUACGACCCAGCGACGAGCGAGUCUUUUGACGCUACUAAUAGUACUACCAAAGGGACGAGCUACGUCUCCUGAUGCCGCUAAUACGACCAAAGCAACAAGGACGUCCCUUGACGACACUUUAAAAAAUAUCAAGUCUUUCCUCACCAACAUUGAUGGGCUACAAACAAAUCGGUCAACGUAUUAGUGUGUUUUCUUUAGCACUUUGAAAUUACUUAAUAUCAAAUGUCUUACAAAACAGUAAGCAAGCAAAAAAUGAUUUAAUAGUGGACCAAUUUCCUCUUGAAAACUUCUACCUCUCUUCCGGCAAUAUUUGUGAUUUCUGCUGGUUACAAGUUGAAGUCUUGAAUUACAGAUGUUGGCAGAGUGUUCUCUGUUUCCAUAGUCUCCCUGAUAUUCUAAACUUUUUUCAAUAUGUUUCACUCCGGUAAGUUGUUAUGGCCAUGUGUAGACCAGGGCCCAGGCCUUCAAGUACCCUCCAGGUAUAUAUUAUCAGGUAUCUCUCUCCGUUCCUGAGAGUACAAUCUAAGUGCUUUGAGGUAUUUCCAGUAAUUUAGAUCUUUUAUUGAUUCUAUACAAGCACUGUACGACCUCCGUACAUUUUCUAGGUUUGCUAUCUCUCUUGCUUGAAAAGGCUAUGUGAAUAUAUUAUUUUUUCAUGGAAGGGAGGACAGGUCGUUUCUUGGAUGAACAGACUCCUCGCCGGCUGUGACCUCAAGUCGUGAGAGCAAAAUUUUAUUUGAAAGGUAUUAUUAUUCGUGUUGUUUCUCUUUGUUUGUGAAAGUUCUUAUCCGAUGGAAAUACAAAAUGCCUAAGAAAUCAUUAUUGUAAAUGCAGACAACUCACAAUUAAACAACACAUGGGAAAACGAAAAAUUUGACAAGAUAAACGACGGAUUAAGUAAUAUAUUAAAAAUUACUGUACUGAUUGCUGAUCAUAAGAUUUUUAAGAGUUUUUUCGCCUUAUAGGGCGGGUUACCGGACAACACCGUCAAGAAACACGUCCAGUUUCCUGACGAAUGUUACCUAACGUAACACCGCUCAUCCUAUGAGUAAUCUUACCACCAUCAAGACAGUACAUGAAUCUGACCAAAAUGUUGUCAAGGCCACUUUCAACUCCAUCCCUGGUUCUUACAUUAUGCAGUUAUCACUACCCCUCACAAUUACAAUACAUCAGUGUAGUAGGGAGUUGAUAAAUUAGACACAUGUGCAACUCUUGGGUAUCUUUAUUAAGAAAACGUUUCGCCACACAGUGGCUUCAUCAGUCCAUACAAAGGAGAAUCUUGAAGAACAGGAGUAGAAUGAGGUAAUCAGUCCCUCAACCUUGAGUCGAUGUGGUCAGUCCAUCAGUCUUGAAUAGAAUACGCCAUACGUGCGGAGGAGCUUAUAAACCGUAGGCAGGAGAGGUGCAGCAGUCAUAGGUGGUGUCACAUUUGUUCAAUGUGGAAGUAGGUCGUGCCCAAGAAUUAGGCAAGCGUAG